UCUGCUGCUAGAUUACUGCAAGUGUGGCAGUGGUGUCUCAUGUGCUUCAUAGGUGGCAGAGGAGAGAGAGGUUAUGUCUAAGCUCAGGUUGUGGCCUGAGGAACAUCUGAAUGAUGAAGAGUAUAACACA